rfam:Micromonospora sp. HK10 genomic scaffold Scaffold200, whole genome shotgun sequence.
CUUGAUCGACCCGAGCCAGAGCGGCUCGUCGCGGUCCUGGCCGUACGUGGCCAGCAGGGCCUGCGCCUC